GCGCCCGUAGCUCAACGGAUAGAGCGUCUGACUACGGAUCAGAAGGUUGGGGGUUCGAGUCCCUCCGGGCGCGC
rnacentral:tRNA from 3 species